UACAGAGGUCCCAAGCGUUGUUCGGAUUCACUGGGCGUAAAGGGUGCGUAGGUGGCUGGGUCAGUCUGAUGUGAAAUCUCCGAGCUUAACUCGGAAACUGCAUUGGAUACUGCUCGGCUUGAGGGUUGGAGGGAGGACUGGAAUACUUGGUGUAGCAGUGAAAUGCGUAGAUAUCAAGUGGAACACCAGUGGCGAAGGCGAGUCCUUGGACAACUCCUGACACUGAGGCACGAAAGCUAGGGGAGCAAACAGG
rnacentral:rRNA from 1 species